AGUCUACCUCAUACCACCCUGAAUGCGCCCAAUCUCAUCUGAUCUCGGAAGCUAAGCAGGGUCAGGCCUGGUUAGUACUUGGAUGGGAGAGGCUGAAAUCAGCAGGAUUA
rnacentral:rRNA from 1 species